rnacentral:rRNA from 1 species
CUUGACUGUAGCCUGGAAUUGGGUUCGGGCUUUUCUUGCGCAGCCUAGGUGGGAGGCUAUGAAGAUUUCCUUCCGGGGAAGUUGGAGCCAACAGUGAGAGACCACUCUGGCAAGGCUAGAAUCCUCAUGGUGAUCCUUGAAUCAGGAAACUUGACAGUUUCAGGCGGGCAGUUUUUCUGGGGCAGAAACCUCAUAAAAGGUAACUGAGGUGCGCAAAGGUUCCCUCAGUCUGGACGGAAAUCAGACAUUGAGUGUAAAGGCAAAAGGGAGCUUGACUGCAAGACCCACAAGUCGAGCAGGAGCGAAAGCUGGCCUUAGUGAUCCGACGGUGCCGUGUGGAAGGGCCGUCGCUCAACGAAUAAAAGUUA